CACCACCUUUCUUUUGGUCUGUGUUAAGGGAUAUGAGGGAUUUUAUUUUCUUAGAGUUGGACUCCACUGUGCUGUUCUGCUGCCAAAAGCUGAAGGCUGUAUUUGCAGAGGAUGUGUUAAGCAGCUAGAAUUGGCGGUCUAGAGGAGAAAAGAGGGGGAUUUAUGCCUCGUAAAAAUCUACGUACUUACACUGCGCUUUGAAUUUCAUGAACUCCUAAAGGAGAGGAAAAGAAUUGCAUACCUGGCAGGGGAAGGAUUUAAGUUGACAAUUAAGACAGCUCAGUGCUCUGUCGCUGCAGCUCAGCUGGAGCAGGCAGAGACAAGGGAUGCUGAAGCACAGCUCUCUCCUCUCUGUGACCACAUCAGGCAGCCUCACCAGAACGUCCCAUCUGUGAAUCUGCAGGGCCACAGACAGCCUCAGCCCUCCCUCAAGCUUUUAUUCUGAAAUUCUGAGGGAAGUUGUUCUCUGAUGUUGCUGAAUUGGAAGACGUUCAGACAUCUAAUGCUGGAGAUAGACAUCUGCUGUGUGGAGAGCCUGAGCAGGGAGAUUUGCUCAGUAAAGCAGAUCAGACGGUGGGCCAGAAUCUCGGCCUUGAUAAAGGUGUGGUCGUACUCAUGACUGGCACCAAAGUGGUCAUAAAACCAGCCUACAGCAGCCAUGGAGAAUGUGCAGCCUGGGAUUUAGCAUCAUCUUCUGGCAGCCUGAAUUGACUUUCAGUCCAGUAUUUGCAGCCUUGCAGAGCUUUAGCUGGAUCUUGAACAUCUUCAUUCUAUUGACUACAGCUAAUCAAGAUUUUAUUUGGUUUUGUCGUGUUUAGGAGCUAUGCGGAGACCAUCAUUUUUUAGUUCAAGUCUUGAAACAGAAGCGGUAGCAGCAUUGCAAUUUGAUUCAUGUGUGACCUUCCCUGUGCCCUGGAACCAAUGAAGUUAGUAUGGUUGUGUGGAUACGUCUCCUUCCUUGGAAUGGGUCAGGAUGUGAACUGCAUGCAGUAGUCAUAUACAGAGGAUGGAAGGAGGGUCAGUUGAAUUUGAGGCUGCAGUGGAAAACCCAGCACCAAGAAUACUGGGAGGACUGCUACUGCCUGUGAACUUUGGAAUGCAGAGAUCAAUUCUUCCUGUACCUGGAGGACUGCCUACAGGGAAAACUGUCCUAUUGUAUCUAAAAUUAAAAGGUGUAGGAAGACAUUAGGAAGGGAAGAGUUAGCAAGAGGUACAGAAA